rnacentral:ncRNA from 1 species
GCGUCACAACGGCUUCCUGGCGUGGCGUGGCUUAAACCCAAUGGAGCA